AUCUUUUGGGUUGAGACUGUAUCUAGAGAAGCUGUGCUGUGUAGCCAGAGGUCUUCUUCACCAGUUGGAAACUGAAUGGAAAUUAAAGCUCCAAAUGAAUUUUCUGGGCUUUUGAAAGCAGAAAUGGAAGACUGAGCUGCUGUAUUCUGUUGCUGGCAUUUUACAAGCCAUCAUGAUGGCUUCAGACAAUGGAUUCACUUUUUCUAUAGCCAGUUUCCUCCUUUAUUGAAAAGAAAAAGGAGCUUAGAGGAUAUAAUUUUGAUGUUUUCUCUGUUUGUUACAAAAACUUGCUCACUGCUCUAUUGCUGCUCUUGGCAGUUAAGGAAUGAGUACUGUGAGAGAUUUGGGGGUUAACAACUGAUUUUCUUGGACGUCAAAUUAAGCUCGUAGUUAUGCAGUUCUCACCUGUAAAAGUGAUGAGCAGCUUAAAACCAAGUGAAUAAAAUGGAAUGUUGAUAUAGAAUGCCAGAUCUGUGUGUAGGAGACAUCACGUCUCCUUGCAGCAGUGAACCCUCUCAGUGACUGAACUUCUUACUGAUAUCAGAAAACAUUACUUGUUUAAUUAUUGCAUUGAAGGUACAUGCUCUUCACUCUGACAACCCUGAGUUCUUAUACUCAAAUGUAAUUUUGGGGGAAAUAUUGUAGCAGCAGUAUAAAUGUUCUUUGAUGGCAUAUCCAGAAUUUGAGAGCUUCUUGGUCCAAUAUUUAUCUUGCACAACUCAAUAUAUUCUCUUAUGCUUCAGUUGUUAAGAUUUCAGGAAAGACUGUGCUUCUAUGUUUGCAGCUGAUUCUGUUGAAAGUGACUCAUGAAUAAGACAGCUAUAGCAAUACUGAGUAAAGUUAUUCAGAAAUGUUAUAUUUCCCAUAGCUUAAAAACUAACUGAAAUACUGAACAAUCUUGAAACUUUAUAAAAAUAAAGCAGGCAUUAAUUGCAAAUUCCAGACUUAGUAAUGUCUGUUACAUCAUAAUAAUAGUUUCGUUUCUUUCCAGUUAGACUUGCAAAAUAAAAAAAAAUCUAAAAC
ensembl:lncRNA